rnacentral:lncRNA from 1 species
AUGGAGAUAACUAUCAGACUUCACUACAUCUCCCCUUUUCUGAGAGAAAUCCAAACUAUACAUCCUCUCUACCUAAUACAAAUAUUCACCCUGUGGACCUUUUCAAUAUUUCACAGCAACAUAACUGUGUCAACUAGGAUAUGGGGGUUAACAGUCCACAGCAACAUAACUGUGUCAACUAGGAUAUGGGGGUUAACAGUCCACAGCAACAUAACUGUGUCAACUAGAACAUGGGGGUUAACAGUCCACAGCAACAUAACUGUGUCAACUAGGACAUGGGGGUUAACAGUCCACAGCAACAUAACUGUGUCAACUAGGACAUGGGGGUUAACAGUCCACAGCAACAUAACUGUGUCAACUAGAACAUGGGGGUUAACAGUCCACAGCAACAUAACUGUGUCAACUAGGAUAUGGGGGUUAACAGUCCACAGCAACAUAACUGUGUCAACUAGAACAUGGGGGUUAACAGUCCACAGCAACAUAACUGUGUCAACUAGGAUAUGGGGGUUAACAGUCCACAGCAACAUAACUGUGUCAACUAGAACAUGGGGGUUACCAGUCCACAGCAACAUAACUGUGUCAACUAGAACAUGGGGGUUAACAGUCCACAGCAACAUAACUGUGUCAACAAGAACAUGGGGGUUAACAGUCCACAGCAACAUAACUGUGUCAACUAGAACAUGGGGGUUAACAGUCCACAGCAACAUAACUGUGUCAACUAGAACAUGGGGGUUAACAGUCCACAGCAACAUAACUGUGUCAACUAGGACAUGGGGGUUAACAGUCCACAGCAAUAUAACUGUGUCAACUAGGACAUGGGGGUUAACAGUCCACAGCAACAUAACUGUGUCAACUAGAACAUGGGGGUUAACAGUCCACAGCAACAUAACUGUGUCAACAAGAACAUGGGGGUUAACAGUCCACAGCAACAUAACUGUGUCAACUAGAACAUGGGGGUUAACAGUCCACAGCAACAUAACUGUGUCAACUAGGACAUGGGGGUUAACAGUCCACAGCAACAUAACUGUGUCAACUAGGACAUGGGGGUUAACAGUCCACAGCAAUAUAACUGUGUCAACUAGGACAUGGGGGUUAACAGUCCACAGCAACAUAACUGUGUCAACUAGAACAUGGGGGUUAACAGUCCACAGCAACAUAACUGUGUCAACUAGGAUAUGGGGGUUAACAGUCCACAGCAACAUAACUGUGUCAACUAGAACAUGGGGGUUAACAGUCCACAGCAACAUAACUGUGUCAACUAGGAUAUGGGGGUUAACAGUCCACAGCAACAUAACUGUGUCAACUAGGACAUGGGGGUUAACAGUCCACAGCAACAUAACUGUGUCAACUAGGACAUAG